rnacentral:lncRNA from 1 species
CUCAAAGAAAUUUCAAACGAACAAUAAGAAUUUUUAAAGAAACAUUAGAAAGAAUACAAAUAUGAUUCAAAUACAUCUCAAUUCAAUCUUAAUUUAAUUCUACUUAAAAUCCUAUUGAACUUCAUUCAAAUUUUAGACCAAAACUAAUUGAAUCUUAAAUCCUAAUAAAAUCCUAAAUCCUAAAUCAAACGCUGAUCCAAAUCUUCAACCCUAAAUCAAA